UACGUAGGGUGCGAGCGUUAAUCGGAAUUACUGGGCGUAAAGCGUGCGCAGGCGGUUCGUUGUGUCGGCGGUGAAAGCCCCGGGCUCAACCUGGGAAUGGCAAUGGAAACUGGCGGGCUGGAGUAUGGCAGAGGGGGGUGGAAUUCCGCGUGUAGCAGUGAAAUGCGUAGAGAUGCGGAGGAACACCGAUGGCGAAGGCAGCCCCCUGGGCCAAUACUGACGCUCAGGCACGAAAGCGUGGGGAGCAAACAGG
rnacentral:rRNA from 1 species